UCUGGGAACGAGAUGCAAACCCUGGCUCAGCAUAGGGCCAAAGACGCUGACAAGAGGAUUUCUCACUGUGAGAGAAGUGAGCCACCAGAUAGAGAGGACACUCAAACAGCCCCAUGCAGAGGCCAAUAUAGAAAGGAUAAAAUAGCCAGCAUCAACUUACCGGCUUUGUAAGAGAGCCUUUAUAACUGAAUCCACUGCCCCGGUCAAGCCUUCAGAUGACUGCAGCUCUAGCCUACAUCUGGCUGCAAUCUCAGGUGUUCAGAUCAAGGGAAACUACUCUAAGAGGCUACACUUGAGGAACAACAACCAAGGAGCUUCAACUGCAUCUGGAUUUCAGGAGUCUGGAAAACUUUUCUUUUGAGCUAUUGACAGCCUUUAACAACUGAGUAAAGUGUACUCCUGUGAACAAAAUUCAGAGCCUGUUUGUUUCUCUCUACCUGAUUUCUCCAGAAUUUGGAAACUAUUUACUGACUCUUCUUAUUUCUGUUAACCAACCAGUGAUCUCUGGCUGCUGCUCAGAAGAACUAAGAAGGAUGGGUACCAUCUUUUGUUGGAACUCAGUUACAAAUAACCCUCACCAUACCAGCACUUUCUGAAUGAGCUCCUCUCUACCCUGAAGGCAAAAGACCCAAUAGUUAGGCUGGAAUAUUAUCACCCCUAUUCAGCCUGAAGAAGUUACAGAAAAUGGAUCUUCAUCUGUCUACAACCCUUAGGAUUAAGUGUUCUCUUAUAAUAGGGAGGGGGGAAUUGUCAGAGGCAUUUGAAUCAAAGCAACUCCAUUUCACACAGGGGCUAAGUGAAAUAAGGCUAAGACCUACUAGGCUGCAUUCCCAGGAGGUUAAGACAUUCUAAGUCACAGGAUGAGACAGGAGAGCGGCAUAAGAUGCAGGUCAGAAAGAUCUUGUGGAUAAAACAGGUUGCAGUAAAGAAGCCAGCCAAAACAUCAAAACCAAGAUGGCGACAAAAGUGACUUCUGGUCGUCUGCACUGCUACAUUCCCGCCAGCACCACGGCAGUUUACAAAUGCCAUGGCAAUGUCAGGAGGUUGCCCUACAUGUUCUAAAAUGGGGAGGAACCCUCAGUUCCAGGAAUUGCCCACCCCUUUCCUGGAAAACUCAUGAAUAAUCCACCCUUUGUUUAGCAUAUAAACAAGAAAUAACCAUAAAAAUGGGCAACUAGGUGUGCACCACUGCUCUUCUUAUGGAGUAGCCAUUCUUUCAUUCCUUUACUUUCAUAAUAAACUUGCUUUCACUUAAAAAAAAACUUGACCCUUACCUUAUGCCAUGUAUAAAAAUUAACUCACAAUGAAUCAGGAGGUAUUCCUUUUUCCUGACUGCCUUUGAACUGGGACAUCAUUUUUUUCCCUGUCUUCAGACUUGAACUGAAACAUCAGCUUUUCUUGAGUCUCAACCUGCUGUUCUUUGGACUAGAACUGCACCAUUGGCUCUCUUGGGUUUCCAGCUUAACAACUGUAGAUCUUGGAACUUGGCAGCUUUCAUA
ensembl:lncRNA novel transcript, antisense to ZNF365